UCUUUGUUUAAGAGUUGGAUAUGUCUUCUCCUCCAUAGAUGUCCAAAAGUUGGAUAUAUCUUCUCCUCCAUGAUCAGUCUAAGAGUUGGAUGGAAAGAAAAGAAAAGAGAUUGGAUCUCUUUUCUUCUUUUUCAAAUAUUCUUCUUUUUCUUAAAAAAAAAAAUCAAAUUGGAUCUGAUUUCUUAAUCCUCUCAUGGAUCUCUUUGAUUAUCUUAAGAAGAGAAUCGAAAGAGAUCAAAGAUUCGAUAAUUCAAAGGGC
rnacentral:lncRNA from 1 species